rnacentral:lncRNA from 1 species
GAUAAGCGGUUGUCGAAGCCGUCAAAAAUAAACCUAUUAUCAACCAACAAAAUAAUUUGCAGAUAGUGGCAAUAGGGUCGAAUCCACAGGGAAUUGAUACUUACUUAUUUUCCUAGUCAAGACCAAGUAAAGAAACAAACAAUAAAAGUAAAAUGGGGUUUUGAGGUUUGAUAAACUAAACUAAUAUUGAAAGCGAUAGAGAAAAGCAAAUAAUUAAAGUAGAGAAAUUCAAUAAUGAGAAAGGCCUAGUUGAAGAGUUGGAUCCACUUUAGUUGUUGGGAUUGAUCAUUGAAACUUAUAUUCUCUUAUUUAACUCAAUAAAUUAGUUAUG